rnacentral:RNase_P_RNA from 1 species
UAAGGCGGCCGGGCGGUCGCCCCGGUUCGCCGGGGAGGAAAGUCCGGACUCCGCCAGGCAGGGCGCUGGGUAACGCCCAGGCGUCUCGUUCAUUCGAGGCGACGGCAAGUGCCGCAGAGAGCAGUCCGCCGAUGGCCUCGGGGAACCGGGGCACAGGCAAGGGUGAAAGGGUGCGGUAAGAGCGCACCAGGCCGCGCGGCGACGCGGGCGCUGGUAAACCCCGCCCGGAGCAAGGCCGAAUAGGGGGGCGAUGCGCGCCUGGACGCGCCCCCGGGUAGGCCGCUCGACCCUUUCGGCAACGGGAGGGCUAGAUAGAUGACCGCCGCCCGCAAGGGUACAGAAUCCGGCUUAUAGGCCGCCUUGGCUC